AGUGAACGCUGGCGGUAGGCCUAACACAUGCAAGUCGAACGGCAGCACAGUAAGAGCUUGCUCUUACGGGUGGCGAGUGGCGGACGGGUGAGGAAUACAUCGGAAUCUACUUUUUCGUGGGGGAUAACGUAGGGAAACUUACGCUAAUACCGCAUACGACCUACGGGUGAAAGCAGGGGAUCUUCGGACCUUGCGCGAUUGAAUGAGCCGAUGUCGGAUUAGCUAGUUGGCGGGGUAAAGGCCCACCAAGGCGACGAUCCGUAGCUGGUCUGAGAGGAUGAUCAGCCACAGUGGAACUGAGACACGGUCCAGACUCCUACGGGAGGCAGCAGUGGGGAAUAUUGGACAAAGGGCGCAAGCCUGAUCCAGCCAUACCGCGUGGGUGAAGAAGGCCUUCGGGUUGUAAAGCCCUUUUGUUGGGAAAGAAAAGCAGCAGGUUAAUACCCCGCUGUUCUGACGGUACCCAAAGAAUAAGCACCGGCUAACUUCGUG
rnacentral:rRNA from 1 species